UAAAAUAGCCGAAACUUCAAAAGAAAAGAAAGAAAAGAGGAAAGCUAGAUUCGGCACUUGUAUUCUUUGAUUUAGAUUUGGGAAGUUAAUUACGGGCUCGGGGAUCGUCAGCGAAGUCAAUCAAACUAUCGUUCGUUUAUCGGUAUCUAUAAAAGUUAAACUUUUGAACAUAUGACAUGUAUAGGCUAGUACUUGUUUUGGUUGAAUUUUGAAAUUGUAAAUAUAAAGCCAUGCGAAAAUGGCUAGAAAUGAUGUUUAUGUUUUUUUUUUUGUAUGUUCGGUCAUGGUAUAUGUUCAUGUUGGAAAAAUUUAUGCUUCAUGAUAUAUAUAUAUAUUUGUGGUAGGAUUUGUAAAUGUGGAUUGUUAUGAUUCGAUUCAAGUCCAAUUUUGGUGUAAAAAUACUGCCCAAUUUGGUGUCUAUAUGCUGCCAAUUUGGUGUAUAUUUGUUGUCAAAUUUUGGUGUAAAAAAAUGUUGUACAAUUUGAUAUAUAUAUAUGCUGCCCAAUUUGAUGUAUAA